UACGGAGGGUGCGAGCGUUGUUCGGAAUUACUGGGCGUAAAGCGCGUGUAGGCGGUUGAGCAAGUCAGAUGUGAAAGCCUUCCGCUUAACGGAAGAAGUGCAUUUGAAACUACUCGGCUGGAGUACGGGAGAGGAGAGUGGAAUUCCCGGUGUAGAGGUGAAAUUCGUAGAUAUCGGGAGGAACACCAGUGGCGAAGGCGGCUCUCUGGUCCGAUACUGACGAUGAGACGCGAAAGCGUGGGGAGCAAACAGG
rnacentral:rRNA from 1 species